rnacentral:rRNA from 1 species
UGGGGAAUUGUUCGCAAUGGGCGAAAGCCUGACGACGCAACGCCGCGUGGAGGACGAAGAUCUUCGGGUCGUAAACUCCUGUCGAGCGGGAAGAAUGCUUCGAGGGUGAAUAAUCCUCGAAAUUGACGGUACCGCUAAAGGAAGCCCCGGCUAACUCCGUGCCAGCAGCCGCGGUAAUACGGGGGGGGCAAGCGUUGUUCGGAAUUACUGGGCGUAAAGGGCUCGUAGGCGGCCAACUAAGUCGGAUGUGAAAUCCCCAGGCUCAACCUGGGAACUGCAUCCGAUACUGGAUGGCUUGAAUCCGGGAGAGGGAUGCAGAAUUCCAGGUGUAGCGGUGAAAUGCGUAGAUAUCUGGAGGAAUACCGGUGGCGAAGGCGGCAUCCUGGACCGGCAUUGACGCUGAGGAGCGAAAGCUAGGGGAGCAAACGG